rnacentral:lncRNA from 1 species
UUUUCUUGAAUUCCAAAAUUCUCCGCCUUUUCUCAGCUUGACACCUACUUUAGAACCAUCCUUUUCGUCGUACGACAAAGCUUCCUUGUAAACUAAGGCUAAGGCACGCUCGAUAGCAAGAAGCUAGUGACUUCUUUCAGGUCAUUAACUAGAACUUGCACGAGGUAUCACAGUGGGGCCUGUCUUCUGUCCGGUUCUUGGGUCCGGUCGAGCCUCUUUGAAAUUACAUCCCUGCCUCUCGUCUAACUCGAGUUGCCCCGCUCCUUUGGCAGUUAAAGUAGCUCGCUUCAAGAAGUCAGAUUAUAUCCCUAGGGGUAUGUUACGAGCAGAAGUUCUCUUGCUAGUGGAAGUAAGAGUAGCAAGGUUAGGACCGCAUAUAAAUAGUUUAGGGGAAAGAAAUUGGAUUCCCUAGAAGUUUGUCCGGUUGGGAAAGCCAGAACUCUUGUAAACCAGCUUGAUAAAGGGUAGUGGUAGGGACAGUCUCAGUACCACUGAAAGUGCGAUAGUCCUUCAAGCAAGGGACUUGGGCAAACAAAGUCCUUACUCGUAUUCCACCAACAACUCGCGUAUCGUAUAGAGCUUUUUCCUAUCCUUUCCGCAUAGACUUGCUUCGCACCUGUGUCAAAAGCCACUGCUUGCUUUGAAACCUAUUCGGAUGGCGCGAGAUACGAUACGCUUUGCUUUCUUGUUGCGUGAAAGUGCUUGAGCGACCGUCGGGAAAGAUUUUUAG